rnacentral:rRNA from 1 species
UGAACGCUGGCGGCAGGCCUAACACAUGCAAGUCGAGCGGUAACAGGGGAAGCUUGCUUCUCGCUGACGAGCGGCGGACGGGUGAGUAAUGUAUGGGGAUCUGCCCGAUAGAGGGGGAUAACCACUGGAAACGGUGGCUAAUACCGCAUAAUCUCUUAGGAGCAAAGCAGGGGAACUUCGGUCCUUGCGCUAUCGGAUGAACCCAUAUGGGAUUAGCUAGUAGGUGGGGUAAUGGCUCACCUAGGCGACGAUCCCUAGCUGGUCUGAGAGGAUGAUCAGCCACACUGGGACUGA